GCGCCAGUAGCUCAGGUGGACAGAGCAGCGGCCUUCUAAGCCGCGGGUCAGGGGUUCGAGUCCCUUCUGGCGCGCCA
rnacentral:tRNA from 1 species